AUUGAACGCUGGCGGCAGGCUUAACACAUGCAAGUCGAGCGGGGGAGGGUAGCUUGCUACCGGACCUAGCGGCGGACGGGUGAGUAAUGCUUAGGAAUCUGCCUAUUAGUGGGGGACAACAUCUCGAAAGGGAUGCUAAUACCGCAUACGUCCUACGGGAGAAAGCAGGGGAUCUUCGGACCUUGCGCUAAUAGAUGAGCCUAAGUCGGAUUAGCUAGUUGGUGGGGUAAAGGCCUACCAAGGCGACGAUCUGUAGCGGGUCUGAGAGGAUGAUCCGCCACACUGGGACUGAGACACGGCCCGGACUCCUACGGGAGGCAGCAGUGGGGAAUAUUGGACAAUGGGGGGAACCCUGAUCCAGCCAUGCCGCGUGUGUGAAGAAGGCCUUAUGGUUGUAAAGCACUUUAAGCGAGGAGGAGGCUACUCUAGUUAAUACCUAGGGAUAGUGGACGUUACUCGCAGAAUAAGCACCGGCUAACUCUGUGCCAGCCGCCGCAGUAA
rnacentral:rRNA from 1 species